CUCUUCUUCCUCCUUGCUCAGUUUGGGGCCCUUCUGUUGGUCCAAGCCACAGAACCAGUUGUAGGCUUUCCUACAGCAUCCUGGGUCCUCCUGGUUUUCCUCAUCAACUGGAAGGAAUAACACUGUGGUCAGGGAAGGAUUUUCUACAUGUUCCAAGAGAGCCUUCUGCAGAGGACACUUGGGCCUUUUGCAGCCCAGAGACUUGGCCUGGUAUUGGAGAAGUAAACUGCUUCAAAUCUUAAAUUCCAUCUUUUCAAUACUUUCUACACUCUUAAUUGAAAGACAAAUAAAUUAAUUUGAGGAUACUGCUGAAAAGGAGCUUGGGAGCAGAACCAGAAACCCAAUAAAGACAGCAGCUCUGUCCUGCUCCUCAUCGGCAUCAAGAUCAAUCCGUUCUUCUUUGCUGUGCCGCAAGGACCAGCACAAGCGGUAAAGCUGCCAGGGAACAAAAGGCCUUGAACUGAUCAUGGAUCAAUACACAGAGCCCAGCCAGCCUGUAAGGCACAGCAUCCCCAGUGUCUGGGAUGCCCCAGGCUAUCAGGAGCCACUGAAGAUCUGUGACAGGUAAAGGAAGACUAUUUCCUUUGCUUUCCUACAAGAGCUGUGUGCUGGGGUGGCUGAAGUGUCGAGGGGUAACACACCAAGUACCAACUGGUGGUUUCAUUGUGUUCCAUUCCUUGAGGAGCAGGACUGCAGUGAUACUCACAUGUACAUCAGGAAUGGGCUUGGUCAUGAAGGAGACUGCCAGGAUGACGAUGGCAGAAACCCCAAAGAGGAUCAGUGCAAAGUAAAGGUAGUGAAUGCCACAGAUGAUGAAGGGGCAGUCGGAAGGGGCCACACAGCUGCCAGUUCCGUAGGCAAACUCUGCAAUCAUCCUGCUGAGUCCAGCCAGCAGCCCAACAAUCAGGCCCCAGAAGGCACCCUGCAGACAAGGGUGUGACAAGAAGGGAUCAAAAUGAGGCAUUUUAGGUGUGGAAAUAAACUCUGAGCUCUCAAACAGCUGCUGGAGGAAACAUGGAUGGAGUUAUGUGUUACAAUGGCUUUGGCAUGUGGGUUUUAACCCAGAUGCUUUCAGUGGCCUUAUUUACAGCUCAGUGUAUGAUUCCAACUGAAAGGGGCAGUGAACAGCUCUGAGAUGUCAGGCACACCUCAGGGCACUGCAUCCAGACCAUUUCUCACAGUCCUUCUGGCUCCACACAGCUGCCCCCUUCUACAGGACAGGUUUCAGCCAUGGAUUGCACACCCCAGGGGCUGUUCUCAUACCUUUUUACCUUUGAGGACUUAAUCCCUGACAGCUCUGGCUCAAUGGAACCAGCCAGAACGUUGUGUCAUCCUUCCUGAAAUGUGUGUCUGGUUUACCUGCUAAUGGCCCUGAGUAAUUAUUGAAUUCUCAGAACUGUUGGUGGGUGCCUGGUGUACAGCACUCCAGCCCAAAGUGUAACAGACACACAGGUAUGUGUGGGCACAAACUGAAACAUGGGAAAUUCUGGUUAAACAUAAUUUUUUUGUUGUUUUACUGUAAAGGUGCUUGAUCAUUGGAACAGGUUGCCUAGAGACACUGUGCAGUAUCCACUCUUGGGGAUAUUCAAAACCCAACUGGACAGGAUAGGUAAGAGGUGGUUUGUUUGGUAAAUCAGCUUGGUGACCAAUAUCCUAAAUGAAAACUUUCAAAUGUGUGUCCAUAGAUUAUCCUUUUAACACAUUUCUUGGCAAAGUGAUAGGUAACCUAAGCUUCAGAGCUAUCUAUAAAUUCCUAGGUGACUGUUUAUCUAUCAGACUAUGAAAGAACUUUAUCCAACUCAUCUUUGAAACCUCAGGCUUUGGGGUGUGGAGACACAAAAUCCCUGGGCUAUACUGGGAUUAAAAUAAACAGGAAGAAGUUGCUCAUAACAAAAAAAAACCCCAGUUCUCCCAAUUCCUAAAGGAACACGUGGCAUACCUGUUUCCUAAUCUGCACUUACCUGCUCAUUGACACGCUUGCAGAAGAUACCAAGCAGGAAAACAGCAGCAAUGGGAGGUCCCAGGUAGCUGGUAACAGACUGAAUAUAAUCAAAGAGCUGCCCACUCUGAGCUGACUGCACCACGGGAACCCAGGCAAUGCUGAUGCCAAUUAAGAGUAACAUAAAUGCCCUGUAAACACAGCCAGAUAUUCAAUUAGCCAUCUGCUUAGAAGUAUCUAUGAUCUAUCAGAAAGAAAAAAGAACAUCAAUUAAUCAAUAA